CCUACGGGCGGCAGCAGUGGGGAAUAUUGGACAAUGGGGGGAACCCUGAUCUAGCGACGCCGCGUGAGUGAAGAAGUAUUUCGGUAUGUAAAGCUCUAUCAGCAGGGAAGAAAGAAAUGACGGUACCUGACUAAGAAGCCCCGGCUAACUACGUGCCAGCAGCCGCGGUAAUACGUAGGGGGCAGGCGUUAUCCGGAUUUACUGGGUGUAAAGGGAGCGCAGGCGGCACGGCAAGCCUGAUGUGAAAGCCCGCGGCCCAACCGCGGGACUGCAUUGGGAACUACCGGGCUGGAGUGCCGGAGAGGUAGGCGGAAUUCCUAGUGUAGCGGUGAAAUGCGUAGAUAUUAGGAGGAACACCAGUGGCGAAGGCGGCCUACUGGACGGUGACUGACGCUGAGGCUCGAAAGCGUGGGGAGCAAACAGGAUUAGAUACCCUGGUAGUC
rnacentral:rRNA from 1 species